rnacentral:rRNA from 1 species
UACGUAGGGGGCAAGCGUUACCCGGAUUUACUGGGUGUAAAGGGAGCGUAGACGGCAUGGCAAGUCAGAUGUGAAAGCCCGGGGCUCAACCCCGGGACUGCAUUUGAAACUGUCAGGCUGGAGUGCAGGAGAGGUAAGCGGAAUUCCUAGUGUAGCGGUGAAAUGCGUAGAUAUUAGGAGGAACACCAGUGGCGAAGGCGGCUUACUGGACUGUAACUGACGUUGAGGCUCGAAAGCGUGGGGAGCAAACAGG